GACGAACGCUGGCGGCGUGCCUAAUACAUGCAAGUCGAGCGAAGUUUUUCUGGUGCUUGCACCGGAAAAACUUAGCGGCGAACGGGUGAGUAACACGUAAAGAACCUGCCUCAUAGACUGGGACAACUAUUGGAAACGAUAGCUAAUACCGGAUAAUAGCAUUAACUGCAUGGUUGAUGUUUAAAAGUUGGUUUUGCUAACACUAUGAGAUGGCUUUGCGGUGCAUUAGCUAGUUGGUGGGGUAAAGGCCUACCAAGGCGACGAUGCAUAGCCGACCUGAGAGGGUGAUCGGCCACACUGGGACUGAGACACGGCCCUGACUCCUACGGGAGGCAGCAGUAGGGAAUCUUCCGCAAUGGGCGAAAGCCUGACGGAGCAACGCCGCGUGAGUGAAGAAGGAUUUCGGUUCGUAAAGCUCUGUUGUUAGGGAAGAAUGAUUGUGUAGUAACUAUACACAGUAGAGACGGUACCUAACCAGAAAGCCACGGCUAACUACGUG
rnacentral:rRNA from 1 species